UUGGGGGAUAGGGAACCAUGGCCCGAUAAGCCGGUGAUCCCUGACCGGCUUCCCCUAAUCUUGACCUUUCAGGG
rnacentral:sRNA from 1 species